UUUAAUUGAAGAGUUUGAUCAUGGCUCAGAUUGAACGCUGGCGGCAGGCCUAACACAUGCAAGUCGAGCGGUAACAGAGAGUAGCUUGCUACUCUGCUGACGAGCGGCGGACGGGUGAGUAAUGCUUGGGAAUAUGCCUUAUGGUGGGGGACAACAGUUGGAAACGACUGCUAAUACCGCAUGA
rnacentral:rRNA from 1 species